UCUUAGUGUUCUUUUCCAACCUUAAUGAUUAAGGAUAAAAACGGAAGUGCAGGGGAGAGACCCUGAGUGGUACCUUGUCUGUUUGGAAUGCAGUCACAGUGCUGUGUGGGAGGGGCGAUUCUCCUGCCCAGCCUGAAAACAGGAGAUCAAGGAAAUCAAGCAGCACUUGUCAGAGUGUCGAAGGCAUCAAACAGGCCAGACAGAACAAUGAAGGGGCUGAAAGCAGAGUGGAAGUGUUCUGUCACUGUGAUCUCUCUGUUGUUUUAAUUUUAUCGUGAGAUUACUGAUGGACCAAUUUCAGUGAUUCACAUUGGUAAUUAAUACUAUUUAAUUAUCUUCAUAAAGAGGAAGAUGCAGGAAGUGGGAACACGCUGAUGAAGACAUUCUGCUAAUGAAAAGCUUGGUGGAGGGGAACAGCACAGAAAAGUGGGAUGGGAGUGCUUGCAGUGGGCUGAGUCAUGUCCAGUGCCACCCACAAAGGCUGUGGGGUCUGAGCCCAGUAAUGAGCACUGCUUUUUGUGAGUUAGUUCUGCAGUGGAAGCAUUCAGCCCAUGACCAGGAGGACUGAGCCAGGGCUGGGUGCUAUGCCACACGGCUUCCAGCGUCCUGCAAUGUGCUCGUGUGCCUGGAGUGCAGCCUCGGCAAUGCCGAGCAUUGAUCCAGGCCUGUGUAAAUGGCAGCAUAAAUACAGGAACUAAAUCUUUGCUAAGAUUUUCACCACCUCACCCCCCAGGAAAAAAAAAAAAUCUAUCAACUCUGACAUUUACAAUAGACAUUAUCUGCUCUGUGACAUUUGGUCUUACAAACAGAUGUUGACCAAAUUUCCAUUUGUAGCUCACCCCACUGCCACAGAUGAGAGGGCACCCAGAGCUGGCCCUUGUCUCUAAAUAGCAGAGUGCCCGCCCCUCCCUCCCGGCCGUGGGGUGCUGACAAAGGACUGAGCCCCAGGAAAAUAUGGCAGCAUCACCAGCAGUGUGUGGAACAGCAGGGAACUGGAGGAGGGUCUCCUGCAGCCCAGUGUUGUUAAUGAUUCUUUGAUCCUGAAGCCAGGUGACAGCAGUGACACAACGCUGCUGCCACUGACAUCCAGGCACUGCUUGAAAUGGAAACAGGGCAAAGGUUUCCUAAUUCUUUUGUAUUCAAGUCAGGUGGAGCAGCAUUAACAGGGUUUGUGUCUGCAUUAGCCUGGGGGUAGAUGAACAGAAACACAAUAACCUGGUUCUGGGCCCCAUGGGGCUAAAUAAGGGCAGCGAUACACAGAGAACAUAGAACUGAGAAACCAGAGGCUACACAAGCAUAGAGGGAGAGCUGAGCAUUUGCCCCAUGUUCCCCAACCCCUUUAUCCCUGAUGAGGCUCUAAAUGGCAGCACCUGCUUCACUGAAACUGCAUUUCUGAAGGAAGAGCAUCAGGUAGAUUUGCAUGAGCUGCACCUGUCCUGCCCAGCUUCAUUCUGCAUUCUGGCCCCUGCUAGAGCGUGCUGUGAGCAGAAGCAGCGAUGAGGUGGUUCAGCUGUAUUAACCUGGGGUUGGAAGAGGGGGGAGUGUAAGGCAAACCAUGUUUGAUUGCUGAACCAAAAGGCGGAGGGAAGGAGGAGCAGCUCCCAUCUGAGAAGCAAGAAACGUGAAGUCAGCUCUGCUUAAAAGAUUUAGCAUGAUGUGCGCACCACGUAGAAGUAAGCCCAGCUUAACUUUUCUAAUGCUGACGUGAUGAAAAGAUGGCAUCUGUGUUAUGGAAACAAGCUGACUGAAUCUGACAGCUGCACUCUUGCUGUGGAUUUGUUAUGUGGCACCUCCACCAGAACACUUUAAAGGCCUGGGAAGAGCCUGUGCAUUAUCUUAGUCAAAGGGUUACAGAUUUCACAGCUGUGAAGUUCAAUGAUUUCCAGCUGCUGCAGCAGUAGAAGCCAUCAACCACCUUUAAAACAAUGGCAGUUAAUAACGAUUCAAGGUGUGGAAGAGCAUGCUGGCUACUGCUUAUGUUGUGUUGUAGCAAAAGGCACGUUAGCAAAUUUAAAGCAAACUUCUUGCUGCUGAGUGAACCAAAGCAGGCUGAAAAGAACAGUACAACAUGCAAUAUUGCUUGGGAGAAGAUGACAGAAAGCAGUGCGUUAGAAGAGCUGUUGGCCUGUACUGGUCUUAAUGUAUAUAUUCAGUUUAUUGUCCAUGUUAUCAGUCAUAAAAUAAAGGCAUUUGUGUUUGAACUAGGUAAAACUUAACAAUUCAACAGAGGCUUGCUAGAUGCACUUUGAGGUUGCUCAAUUCUCCACGUAAAUUGCCAAACUUUCAGAAUGAAAAGUUUGUUUCUUUCGGUGAAGUGAGGAUGAGUCCUGUAAAGAUAAAAGGCAGAUCGUGCACUUACAGACUUACACAAACAAAUGACUGGGCUGAAAAUUCAGAAUACAACUUUUCAUGUAAUCUAUCUAGACUUUAGUAAAGCCUUUGACUCUGUCCCUGCAGUAUUCUCCUAGAGAAGCUGGCAGCCCAUCACUUGGAUGGGUAUGCUCUUCACUGGGUAAAAAAUUUGCUGGAUGGCCGGGCCCAGAGAGUGGUGGUGAGUUACAUCCCGCUGGCGACCGGUCAUGAGUGGUGUUCCUCAGGGGUCAGCGCUGGGGCUGGUCUUGUUUAAUAUCUUCACUGAUGAUCUGAGUGAGGGGAUUGAGUGUAUGCUCAGUAAGUUUGCAGGUGACACCAAGUUGGCAGGAAGUGAGGAUCUGCCUGAGGGUAGGAAGGUCCUACGGAGGGAUCUGGACAGGCUGGGUCGAUGGGCUGAGACCAGCUGUAUGAGCUUCAACAAGGCCAAGUGCUGAGUCCUGCACGUUGGUCACAACAGCACCAAGCAUCAUUACAGGCUUGGGCAGAGCGGCUGGAAAGCUGCACGGAGGAAAAGGAUCUAGGGGUGUCAGCUGACAGCUGGCUGAACGUGAGCCAGCAGUGUGCCCAGGUGGCCAAGAAGGCAUCCUGGCUCGUAUCAGGAGUAGUGCAGCCAGCAGGAGCAGGUUGGUGAUCAUCCUUCUGUACUUGGUACUGCUGAGGCCGCACCUCAAGUUCAGUUUUGGGCCCCUCAGUACAAGAAAGACAUCGAGAUCCUGGAGUAUGUCCAGAGAAGGGCAAGGAAGCUGUGAAGGGUCUGGAGCACACGUCAUAUGGGGAGCAGCUGAGGGAGCUGAGAUAGAUUGUUCAGUUUGCACUGGGGAGGUUCACUCAGAAAGAGUGGUGGGCAUUGGAACGGGCUGCCCAGGGAGGUGGGUGGAGUCACUGUCCCUGGAGUUGUUCAAGACAUGUGGAGUUGUACCCCUGUGCCACAUGGCUUAGUUGGCAUGGGGUGAUGGUUGAACUAGAUGAUCUUAGUGGUCUUUUCCCACCAUGACAAUUCUGUGUUUCCAUGUUACUUGAAUUACGCAUUGCCCUUACAGAGCGGAGGCCUCUGUGCACAGCACAAGUACCUCAAUCCACCGAGGAAAUCACAGAUCCAAAUAACAGCACUGUACUCGCUUCAUGAACUACAGGGGCAGUAGCUGAUGUUCAGGACUGAAGAAGUGAAUACAGUUCCUGAAAAAAACAAACCACCCUAAAAAAAAAAAAAUCCAAC